rnacentral:rRNA from 1 species
UACGUAGAGUGCAAGCGUUAAUCGGAAUUACUGGGCGUAAAGCGUGCGCAGGCGGUUCGUUGUGUCGGCGGUGAAAGCCCCGGGCUUAACCUGGGAAUGGCCGUCGAAACUGGCGAACUGGAGUGUGGCAGAGGGGGGUGGAAUUCCGCGUGUAGCAGUGAAAUGCGUAGAGAUGCGGAGGAACACCGAUGGCGAAGGCAGCCCCCUGGGCUGACACUGACGCUCAGGCACGAAAGCGUGGGGAGCAAACAGG